rnacentral:rRNA from 1 species
AGGGUUUGAUUAUGGCUCAGAUUGAACGCUGGCGGCAUGCCUUACACAUGCAAGUCGAACGGCAGCACGGGGGCAACCCUGGUGGCGAGUGGCGAACGGGUGAGUAAUACAUCGGAACGUGUCCUGUAGUGGGGGAUAGCCCGGCGAAAGCCGGAUUAAUACCGCAUACGCUCUGCGGAGGAAAGCGGGGGCUCCUUCGGGACCUCGCGCUACAGGGGCGGCCGAUGGCAGAUUAGCUAGUUGGUGGGGUAAAGGCCUACCAAGGCGACGAUCUGUAGCUGGUCUGAGAGGACGACCAGCCACACUGGGACUGAGACACGGCCCAGACUCCUACGGGAGGCAGCAGUGGGGAAUUUUGGACAAUGGGCGCAAGCCUGAUCCAGCAAUGCCGCGUGUGUGAAGAAGGCCUUCGGGUUGUAAAGCACUUUUGUCCGGAAAGAAAACCUCAGCCCUAAUACGGCGGGGGGAUGACGGUACCGGAAGAAUAAGCACCGGCUAACUACGUGCCAGCAGCCGCGGUAAUACGUAGGGUGCAAGCGUUAAUCGGAAUUACUGGGCGUAAAGCGUGCGCAGGCGGUCCGCUAAGACAGAUGUGAAAUCCCCGGGCUUAACCUGGGAACUGCAUUUGUGACUGGCGGGCUAGAGUAUGGCAGAGGGGGGUAGAAUUCCACGUGUAGCAGUGAAAUGCGUAGAGAUGUGGAGGAAUACCGAUGGCGAAGGCAGCCCCCUGGGCCAAUACUGACGCUCAUGCACGAAAGCGUGGGGAGCAAACAGGAUUAGAUACCCUGGUAGUCCACGCCCUAAACGAUGUCAACUAGUUGUCGGGCCUUCAUUGGCUUGGUAACGUAGCUAACGCGUGAAGUUGACCGCCUGGGGAGUACGGUCGCAAGAUUAAAACUCAAAGGAAUUGACGGGGACCCGCACAAGCGGUGGAUGAUGUGGAUUAAU